rnacentral:rRNA from 1 species
CCUACGGGAGGCAGCAGUGAGGAAUAUUGGUCAAUGGACGAGAGUCUGAACCAGCCAAGUAGCGUGAAGGAUGACUGCCCUAUGGGUUGUAAACUUCUUUUAUAUGGGAAUAAAAUGUUCCACGUGUGGGAUUUUGUAUGUACCAUAUGAAUAAGGAUCGGCUAACUCCGUGCCAGCAGCCGCGGUAAUACGGAGGAUCCGAGCGUUAUCCGGAUUUAUUGGGUUUAAAGGGAGCGUAGGUGGAUUGUUAAGUCAGUUGUGAAAGUUUGCGGCUCAACCGUAAAAUUGCAGUUGAAACUGGCAGUCUUGAGUACAGUAGAGGUGGGCGGAAUUCGUGGUGUAGCGGUGAAAUGCUUGGAUAUCACGAAGAACUCCGAUUGCGAAGGCAGUUCACUGGACUGCAACUGACACUGAGGCUCGAAAGUGUGGGUAUCAAACAGGAUUAGAUACCCCAGUAGUC